CAAAAGUUUCAGCCAAAUUCUCUCUAGAAUCGGCCUACUCUCCUCAGCGAAAAUUUCAGCUAAAUCAAAAUCCCUCAAAUCAAAAUGUGAAUCUCAUUUGUCAGGGAUAAGGCACUUAAACAGUGGUAUCGUUCAAGGAUGGUGUCGAGCAAGGAGCAGUUACAAGGCACUUAAUAUUUUGUCUUUUUGGGAUAUGGAUAUGCGUACAGUUACAAUGCACAAUGAAGUAUCGGGUAGUAUAUAUGUAAUUGACUCUUUAGUAAUGAUAAUAUUUAUAAUAUUCGGCUUGAGAAAUU